rnacentral:rRNA from 1 species
UACAGAGGUCUCAAGCGUUGUUCGGAUUCAUUGGGCGUAAAGGGUGCGUAGGCGGCGCGGUAAGUCGGGUGUGAAAUCUCGGAGCUUAACUUCGAAACUGCAUUCGAUACUGCCGUGCUUGAGGACUGGAGAGGAGACUGGAAUUUACGGUGUAGCGGUGAAAUGCGUAGAUAUCUGGAGGAACACCGAUGGCGAAGGCAGGUCUCUGGGCUGACACUGACGCUCAUGCACGAAAGCGUGGGGAGCAAACAGG